CAUCGUGGAUGCCAAUCUGAGUGUUCUCAACUUGGUUAUUGUAAAAAAAUGAGAGAAGGACAUUCCUGGACUGACAGAUACUACUGUUCCUCGUUGUUUGGGACC